UAACACACCCACAUCCGUCACCUCAUACACCUCCGCAUAAAUACACUGAACACACACAUCAGACACAGAUCGAUAGGGUUUCUACACCAGGACAAAACUUUCUACUGCACUUAUCAACAAGACAAGACAAUAUGAGUGAAGGCAGCCAAAAGGACGAGAGCGUCAAGGGGCCCGAGGUGAAAGGAUGUGACGAAGCCGGAGUAAGA